UACGAAGGGUGCAAGCGUUAUUCGGAAUCACUGGGCGUAAAGAGCGCGUAGGCGGCUUAUUAAGUUGGUUGUUAAAUCCCUUGGCUCAACCAAGGAACUGCGAUCAAAACUGGUUUGCUAGAGGAUAAGAGAGAGAAGUGGAAUUCUCGGAGUAGCGGUAAAAUGCGUAGAUCUCGAGAGGAACACCGGUUGCGAAGGCGGCUUCUUGGCUUAUUCCUGACGCUGAGGUGCGAAAGCGUGGGGAGCAAACAGG
rnacentral:rRNA from 1 species